ACGCUCGACACCACGGGAGGCAGCAGUUAGGAAUAUUGGGCAAUGGAGGAAACUCUGACCCAGCAACGCCGCGUGAAGGAAGAAGGUUUUCGGAUUGUAAACUUCUGAUCUAGGGGAAGAAGGAAGUGACGGUACCCUAGGAGAAAGCCACGGCUAACUACGUGCCCGCAGCCGCGGUAAUCUGAGCGGGCUGGCAAGGC
rnacentral:rRNA from 1 species